rnacentral:rRNA from 1 species
GAUGAACGCUGGCGGCGUGCCUAAUACAUGCAAGUCGAGCGAACAGACGAAGAGCUUUCUCCUCUUACGUUAGCGGCGGACGGGUGAGUAACACGUGGAUAACAUACCUAUAAGACUGGGAUAACUUCGUGAAAACGGAGCUAAUACCGGCUAAUAUAUUGAACCGCAUAGUUCAAUAGUGAAAGACGGUUUUGCUGUCGCUUAUCGAUGGAUCCGCUCCGCAUUAGCUAGUGGGUAAGGUAACGGCUUACCAAGGCAACGAUGCGUAGCCGACCUGAGAGGAUGACCAGCCACACUGGAACUGAGACACGGUCCAGACUCCUACGGGAGGCAGCAGUGGGGAAUAUUGCGCAAUGGGCGAAAGCCUGAUGGAGCAAUGCCGCGUGUAUGAAGAAGGCCUUCGGAUUGUAAAGUACUUUCAGCAGGGAGGAAGGAAGUAGAGUGAAUACAUUUACGUAUUGACGGUACCUGAAGAAGAAGCCCCGGCUAACUACGUG